UACGUAGGGAGCAAGCGUUGUCCGGAUUCAUUGGGCGUAAAGAGCGUGUAGGCGCCAGGUAGGUCGGUUGUGAAAACUGGAGGCUCAACCUUCAGAGGUCGACCGAAACCAUCUGGCUAGAGUCCGGGAGAGGAGAGUGGAAUUCCUGGUGUAGCGGUGAAAUGCGCAGAUAUCAGGAAGAACACCCGUGGCGAAGGCGGCUCUCUGGGACGGUACUGACGCUGAGACGCGAAAGCGUGGGGAGCGAACAGGG
rnacentral:rRNA from 1 species